UGUAAGCGUAUACCAAAGUUGUUGCAGUUAAAACGCUCGUAGUCGGAAUUUGGCAGUUCCGGAAGUGUGCACGUCGUGUGCGCGCUUUGCGGGGACUGCUUUUGUGGUCUUGCGUAGGAUGAGGCACUUUCAUUAGUGAACGUCCUCACGCAACCACUCUUUACUGUGAGAAAAUCAGAGUGCUCAAAGCAGGCAUUUGCCGUGAAUGUAUUAGCAUGGAAUAAUAGAAUAGGACUCGGUUCUAUUUUGUUGGUUUGUUGGGACUGAGUAAUGAUUAAGAGGGACAGUUGGGGGCAUUUGUAUUCCGGCGCUAGAGGUGAAAUUCUUAGAUUGCCGGAAGACAAACUGCUGCGAAAGCGUCUGCCAAGGAUGUUUUCAUUGA
rnacentral:rRNA from 1 species